UACGAAGGGGGCUAGCGUUGCUCGGAAUUACUGGGCGUAAAGCGCACGUAGGCGGUCUUUUAAGUCGGGGGGGAAAUCCUGGAGCUCAACUCCAGAACUGCCUUCGAUACUGGAAGACUUGAGUCCGGGAGAGGUGAGUGGAACUGCGAGUGUAGAGGUGAAAUUCGUAGAUAUUCGCAAGAACACCAGUGGCGAAGGCGGCUCACUGGCCCGGUACUGACGCUGAGGCACGAAAGCGUGGGGAGCAAACAGG
rnacentral:rRNA from 1 species